UGGGGAAUAUUGGGCAAUGGGGGAAACCCUGACCCGGCAACGCCGCGUGAGGGAAGAAGGCUUUCGAGUUGUAAACCUCUGUCCUAUGGGAAGAAGAAAGUGACUGUACCAUAGGAGGAAGCUCCGGCUAACUACGUGCCAGCAGCCGCGGUAAUACGUAGGGAGCAAGCGUUGUCCGGAAUUACUGGGCGUAAAGGGUGCGUAGGCGGCGCAGUUAGUCAGAAGUGAAAUAUCGGGGCUUAACUCCGGGACUGCUUCUGAUACUGCUGUGCUCGAGUGCAGGAGAGGUAAGUGGAAUUCCUAGUGUAGCGGUGAAAUGCGUAGAUAUUAGGAGGAACACCAGUGGCGAAGGCGACUUGCUGGACUGUAACUGACGCUGAGGCACGAAAGCGUGGGUAGCAAACAGGAUUAGAUACC
rnacentral:rRNA from 1 species